UACGGAGGGUGCGAGCGUUGUCCGGAAUCACUGGGCGUAAAGGGCGCGUAGGCGGCCUGAUAAGUAGGGGGUGAAAUCCUGCGGCUUAACCGCAGGGCUGCCUUCUAAACUGUCAGGCUAGAGCACAGUAGAGGCAGGUGGAAUUCCCGGUGUAGCGGUGGAAUGCGUAGAGAUCGGGAAGAACAUCAGCGGCGAAGGCGGCCUGCUGGGCUGUUGCUGACGCUGAGGCGCGACAGCGUGGGGAGCAAACAGG
rnacentral:rRNA from 1 species